UACGAAGGGGGCUAGCGUUGUUCGGAAUUACUGGGCGUAAGGCGCACGUAGGCGGAUCGAUCAGUCAGGGGUGAAAUCCCAGGGCUCAACCCUGGAACUGCCUUUGAUACUGUCGAUCUGGAGUAUGGAAGAGGUGAGCGGAAUUCCGAGUGUAGAGGUGAAAUUCGUAGAUAUUCGGAGGAACACCAGUGGCGAAGGCGGCUCACUGGUCCAUUACUGACGCUGAGGUGCGAAAGCGUGGGGAGCAAACAGG
rnacentral:rRNA from 1 species